GAUGAACGCUGGCGGCGUGCCUAAUACAUGCAAGUCGAGCGAAUGGAUUAAGAGCUUGCUCUUAUGAAGUUAGCGGCGGACGGGUGAGUAACACGUGGGUAACCCGCCCAUAAGACUGGGAUAACUCCGGGAAACCGGGGCUAAUACCGGAUAACAUUUUGAACCGCAUGGUUCGAAAUUGAAAGGCGGCUUCGGCUGUCAAUUAUGGAUGGACCCGCGUCGCAUUAGCUAGUUGGUGUGGUAACGGCUCACCAAGGCAACGAUGCGUAGCCGACCUGAGAGGGUGAUCGGCCACACUGGGACUGAGACACGGCCCAGACUCCUACGGGAGGCAGCAGUAGGGAAUCUUCCGCAAUGGACGAAAGUCUGACGGAGCAACGCCGCGUGAGUGAUGAAGGCUUUCGGGUCGUAAAACUCUGUUGUUAGGGAAGAACAAGUGCUAGUUGAAUAAGCUGGCACCUUGACGGUACCUAACCAGAAAGCCACGGCUAACUACGUGCCAGCAGCCGCAGUAA
rnacentral:rRNA from 1 species